AAGUUUCAGAAAAAGUUUAUAUUCCAACUUGCUGAAAUGAAAAAAAAUUUUAGUAGAUAGAACUGCACUGUUCUCUAAUAAUCCAGAAGAAGGUUUUAAACAACGUAAAAGUUCAGAUAAACUUAAUGUUUUGAAAAAAAAUAAUUCGCAAAUGGAGAUAUCCAAUACAUCACUAUUGUAUACACGAGUUUCAUCUUUAAAGUUUAUAAAACAGUUAUCAUUAAUUGGCGAUAAAAAUCUAGCUGAUACAAUU